CAAGAUGGAAGCAGCAGACCUGCUGUAGUGGAUUGGGGAGUCAGCAGGAAGAGAGGUACCACGUGAUUAUUCCAGAUGGUUCUUGGACCUUGACUAAUGCAGGCAUUUGAGGAUCCGGGAGAAAGGGAAUGACCAAGGAAGCAAGGCUCUGGGGAGGUGGAAGGGGUCAGGAUCCAGAUCAGAACAGUUCGGCUCUGAAUAACACGAAGGCGACGCCAUCCCGAGAGAAGAGCGAAGAAGAAGUAGAAAAGAGCCCAGGCUUCGGGUGGAGCGAUCAUGCUCAUGCCCGGGGAGAAAACCUCGGUCCCCUACACUUCUGUGCUCCAAUGAACCCUUCUCCACCCGCACCCCAACGCAGAGGGAACAACAUCCUGAUGGGAGGUGCUUACCUGAGACUCCACCUGGAUCACAAGCAGCGUCUCCUCUGUCUCCAAGGAAAGAGACGCAUUGGGUCGUAGGCCCGCUUGGAGAGCGCUCCCACGCAGCACAUGGAUUUGUAGCUUCCAAGUUGCCCCAGCUUCUCCUGCGUUGCUGUACCGCGGCUGGUGGGCACAGGGAGACGAUCCCUCAGGGAUGUAACUGUCCCUCAGAACAACGGAUUACUUAAAAUAUAACCCCUGGGAAAUUUUACUGGUUACCAAGCACAUUUAGAUGUAGCCUCCAGAAGAACACACACUGGCAACAGGCCGCUGGAGGAGAGGACAGUAUAUAUACAGCCUUGAAGCCCAGCAGCUGGAACACCCGGCCCGCUCAGGACUGACCUCCGCCUCCUUCAUUUUCCCGUUAUCUCCCC